rnacentral:rRNA from 1 species
AUGCGUUUUGAAGCCCAUGGACGCAAGUACUCUGUCGACAUUGUGAAGGGGGCACACAGGACCAGGAUCAAGGGGAGUGGCCGGAAGAAAUUCACUUCUGACUUUUCUAUUCAGAAGGGUGUUGUGGUCAUUUUUGACUUGGACAGGCGUCCCCGCCAGGCAUAUGUUGUCGCUCAAAGUGUUGACUUGCACACAGACGUGGAUGAAGAGAUGAUAGAUGGAGGCAUCUCAGAUGUGGAUGAAGACGGUGGCAACAUAAAGAUCGAGUAUACAGGGGGUCUAACUCUGAAUGAUGCACAACAGGACAUUCUCAAUGAACUGGUGCUCAGCUUCAAGUCCAAGUUUUUAGGAGUGUCUUUUGUACACUGUCUUACUACAACUGACACUCAAGUUGGACAAAUGGUAUGUUUUGUUGUUUCUUUUUUAUUAAAAUUUUGCUUUUUGUGUUUACUUUAUUUUGUUUAUAUGCAUUCAUUAUUUUCUUAA